rnacentral:rRNA from 1 species
UAUCCUUAGUUGCCAGCACGUAAUGGUGGGAACUCUAGGGAGACUGCCGGUGAUAAACCGGAGGAAGGUGGGGACGACGUCAAGUCAUCAUGGCCCUUACGAGUAGGGCUACACACGUGCUACAAUGGUACGUACAGAGGGAGGCAAGCUGGCGACAGUGAGCGGAUCUCUUAAAGCGUAUCGUAGUCCGGAUCGCAGUCUGCAACUCGACUGCGUGAAGUCGGAAUCGCUAGUAAUCGCAAAUCAGAAUGUUGCGGUGAAUACGUUCCCGGGCCUUGUACACACCGCCCGUCACACCAUGGGAGUGG